rnacentral:rRNA from 1 species
UACGAAGGGGGCUAGCGUUGUUCGGAAUCACUGGGCGUAAAGCGCACGUAGGCGGAUUGUUAAGUCGGGGGUGAAAUCCUGAGGCUCAACCUCAGAACUGCCUUCGAUACUGGCAAUCUCGAGUCCGGAAGGAGGUUGGUGGAACAGCGUAGUGUAGAGGUGAAAUUCGUAGAUAUUAGCUAGAACACCAGUGGCGAAGGCGGCCAACUGGUCCGGUACUGACGCUGAGGUGCGAAGCGUGGGGAGCAAACAGG